UGGGGAAUCUUCCGCAAUGGACGAAAGUCUGACGGAGCAACGCCGCGUGAGUGAAGACGGCCUUCGGGUUGUAAAGCUCUGUUAUUCGGGAAGAACGAUUCGUUUGUGAACAAUGAACGGAAGUGACGGUACCGAAAGAGAAAGCCACGGCUAACUACGUGCCAGCAGCCGCGGUAAUACGUAGGUGGCAAGCGUUGUCCGGAAUUAUUGGGCGUAAAGAGCGCGUAGGCGGUAUGGUAAGUCUGUCUUAGAAGUGCGGGGCUUAACCCCGUGAGGGGACAGAGACUGUCAUACUGGAGUCUCGGAGAGGAAAGCGGAAUUCCUAGUGUAGCGGUGAAAUGUGUAGAGAUUAGGAAGAACACCGGUGGCGAAGGCGGCUUUCUGGACGAGCACUGACGCUGAGGCGCGAAAGCGUGGGGAGCGAACAGG
rnacentral:rRNA from 1 species